GAUGAACGCUGGCGGCGUGCCUAAUACAUGCAAGUCGAGCGAACAGACGAGGAGCUUGCUCCUUUGACGUUAGCGGCGGACGGGUGAGUAACACGUGGGUAACCUACCUAUAAGACUGGGAUAACUUCGGGAAACCGGAUCUAAUACCGGAUAAUAUUUCGAACCGCAUGGUUCGAUAGUGAAAGAUGGCUCUGCUAUCACUUAUAGAUGGACCUGCGCCGUAUUAGCUAGUUGGUAAGGUAACGGCUUACCAAGGCAACGAUACGUAGCCGACCUGAGAGGGUGAUCGGCCACACUGGAACUGAGACACGGUCCAGACUCCUACGGGAGGCAGCAGUAGGGAAUCUUCCGCAAUGGGCGAAAGCCUGACGGAGCAACGCCGCGUGAGUGAUGAAGGUCUUCGGAUCGUAAAACUCUGUUAUUAGGGAAGAACAAACGUGUAAGUAACUGUGCACGUCUUGACGGUACCUAAUCAGAAAGCCACGGCUAACUACGUG
rnacentral:rRNA from 1 species